rnacentral:rRNA from 1 species
AUUGAACGCUGGCGGCAUGCCUUACACAUGCAAGUCGAACGGCAGCACGGGAGCAAUCCUGGUGGCGAGUGGCGAACGGGUGAGUAAUAUAUCGGAACGUGCCCAGUAGUGGGGGAUAGCCCGGCGAAAGCCGGAUUAAUACCGCAUGAGACCUGAGGGUGAAAGCGGGGGAUCGCAAGACCUCGCGCUAUUGGAGCGGCCGAUAUCAGAUUAGCUAGUUGGUGGGGUAAAGGCCCACCAAGGGAACGAUCUGUAGUUGGUCUGAGAGGACGACCAGCCACACUGGGACUGAGACACGGCCCAGACUCCUACGGGAGGCAGCAGUGGGGAAUUUUGGACAAUGGGCGCAAGCCUGAUCCAGCAAUGCCGCGUGCAGGAAGAAGGCCUUCGGGUUGUAAACUGCUUUUGUCAGGGAAGAAAUCCUCUGGGCUAAUACCUCGGGGGGAUGACGGUACCUGAAGAAUAAGCACCGGCUAACUACGUGCCAGCCGCCGCAGUAACAC